GCCCAAAAGCUAGAAGCAA
rnacentral:snRNA from 1 species